AGAGUUUGAUCAUGGCUCAGGAUGAACGCUAGCGGCAGGCUUAAUACAUGCAAGUCGUGGGGCAGCACAGGUAGCAAUACUGGGUGGCGACCGGCAAACGGGUGCGGAACACGUACGCAACCUUCCUUUAAGCGGGGAAUAGCCCAGGGAAACUUGGAUUAAUACCCCAUAGAGUCAUCGGGUGGCAUCACCUAAUGACU
rnacentral:rRNA from 1 species